GGCGCGCAGGGCCAAGAUUGGGAGCCAGUUCCUAAGGCAACCGAGCGGAACCGGCAGGGCCUGGCUCCAGGCGGCGGCGGCAGCAGAGACUUUUCCUGAGGCCAAUUAAGUAAGGCUGGCUACUUUUGUUUCCUGAUCCAUAAUCAGCCAUGUUGGAAAGGAUCACAAGCUUUGGAGUUCUACCACCUCGGUUCAGAUCGUGGCUCUGACUCUCUCUGCUUGAGGAAUUACCUAACUUCUUGGACCCUCAGUUUCCUCACAUUUUCCAACACAGGGACUUCCGUGGCAGUCCAGUAAGACUCCAAGCUUCCCCAAAGGAGUCUCGAGUAAGAAGAAUGGAGCUGGAGGAAUCAACCUUCCUGACUUCAGACUAUACUACAAAGCUACAGUCAUCAAGACAGUAUGGUACUAGCUCCAAAACAGAAAUAUAGACCAAUAGAACAAGAUAGAAAACCCAGAAAUAAGCCCACACACCUAUGGGUACUUUAUUUUUGACAAAGGAGGCAAGAAUAUACAGGGAGGCAAAGAUAGCCUCUUCAAUAAGUGGUGCUGGGAAAACUGGACAGCUGUGUGUAAAAGAAUGAAAUUAGAACACUUCCUAACACCAUACACAAAGAUAAACUCAAACUGGAUUAAAGAUCUAAAUGUAAGACCAGAAACUAUAACACUCUUAGAGGAAAACAUAGGCAGAAUACUCAAUGACACAAAUCAAAGCAAAGAUUCUCUAGGACCCACAUCCUAGAGUAAUGGAAAUAAAAACAAAAGUAAAUAAGUAGGACCUGAUUAAACUUAAAAGUUUCUGCACAGCAAAGGAAACUAUAAACAAGAUGAAAAAACAACCCUCAGAAUGGGAGAAAAUAAUAGCAAAUGAAACAGCUGACAAAGGAUUAAUUUCCAAAAUAUACAAGCAGCUCAUACAACUCAAUGCUAGAAAAACAAACAACCCAAUCAAAAAGUGGGGGAAAGUCCUAAACAGACAUUUUUCCAAAGAAGACAUACAGAUGGGUAACAAACACAUGAGAAGAUGCUCAACAUCACUCAUUAUUAGAGAAAUGCAAAUCAAAACUACAAUGAGAUAUCACCUCACACCGGUCAGAAUGACCAUCAUCAAAAAGCCUACAAAUAAUAAAUGCUGGAGAGAGUGUGGAGAAAAAGGAACUCUCUUGCCCUGUUUAUGGCAAUGUAAAUUGAUAUAGCCACUGUGGAAGAUGACAUGGAGAUUCCUUUAAAAACUAGGAAUAAAACCACUAUAUGACCCAGCAAUCCCUUUCGUAGGCAUAUACCCUGAGAAAACCAAAAUUGAAAAAGACACAUGUACCCCAGUGUUCAUUGCAGCACUAUUUACAAUAAAUAGGACAUGGAAGCAACCUAAUGUCGAUCAACAGGUUAAUAACCAUCGACAGAUGAACUGUGGUGUUGGAGAAGACUCUUGAGAGUCCCUUGGACUCCAAAGAGAUACAACCAGUCCAUCCUAAAGGAAAUCAGUCCUGAAUAUUCAUUGGAAGGACUGAUGCUGAAGCUGUAGCUCCAAUACUUUGGCUACCUGAUGUGAAGAAUUGACUCACUGGAAAAGACCCUGAUGCUGGGAAAGAUUGAAGCCAGGAGAAGAAGGGGAUGACAGAGCAUGAGAUGGUGAGAUGGCAUCACUGACUUGAUGGACUUGAGUUUUAGCAGGCUCUGGAAGUUGGUGAUUGACAGGGAAGCCUGGCGUGCUGCAGUCCAUGGGGUCGCAAAGAGUUGGACACGACUGAGCAACUGAACUGAAUGGAGAGACAGACAUAGAGAACAAACUUAUGGACAUGGGGAGAGGAGAGGAGCGGGUGAGAUGUAUGGAAAGAGUAACAUGGAAAUGUACAUUACCAUAUGUAGAAUAGAUAGCCAAUGGGAAUUUGCUGUAUGUCUCAGGGAACUUAAACAGGGAUUCUGUAUCAACCUAGAGGGGUGGAAUGGGGAGGGAGAUGGGAGGAAGGUUCAAGAGGGAGGGGACAUAUGUAUAUCUAUGGCUGAUUCAUUUUGAUGUUUGACAGAAAACAAAAUUCUGUAAAGCAAUGAUCCUUCAAUUAAAAAAUAAAUAUUUUUUUAUGUCUAA